UACGAAGGGGGCUAGCGUUGUUCGGAAUUACUGGGCGUAAAGCGCACGUAGGCGGAUUGGUAAGUUAGGGGUGAAAUCCCGGAGCUCAACUCCGGAACUGCCUUUAAUACUGCCAGUCUAGAGACCGAGAGAGGUAAGUGGAACUCCUAGUGUAGAGGUGGAAUUCGUAGAUAUUAGGAAGAACACCAGUGGCGAAGGCGGCUUACUGGCUCGGAACUGACGCUGAGGUGCGAAAGCGUGGGGGGCAAACAGG
rnacentral:rRNA from 1 species